UACGAAGGGGGCUAGCGUUGCUCGGAAUCACUGGGCGUAAAGGGUGCGUAGGCGGGUCUUUUAAGUCAGGGGUGAAAUCCUGGAGCUCAACUCCAGAACUGCCUUUGAUACUGAAGAUCUUGAGUGCGGGAGAGGUGAGUGGAGCUGCGAGUGUAGAGGUGAAAUUCGUAGAUAUUCGCAAAGAACACCAGUGGCGAAGGCG
rnacentral:rRNA from 1 species